UUCAGGGCACGCAAUGGCGGCAGCAGCAGCAGCAGCUUACCCAUACUCGGAUCCAUACUAUAGAAGCAUUUUUGCUCCCUAUGAUGCUCAGCCAUAUCCUCCACAGCCCUAUGGUGGACAACCAAUGGUCCAUCUUCAGUUCAGCAAGCCGGAGUUCCUUUGCCAUCAGAUGCAGUUGAGGAACCUGUAUUUGUCAAUGCAAAACAAUAUCAUGGGAUCUUGAGACGUCGACAAUCCCGUGCAAAAGCUGAAUCAGAAAACAAAGCCAUCAAGUCUCGGAAGCCAUACUUGCAUGAAUCUCGACAUUUGCAUGCCUUGAGAAGAGCUAGAGGAUUGGGGGGUCGGUUUCUCAAUUCCAAGAAGAAUGAGAAUCAACAAGAGAACGGAGAUUCACCAGGUGACAAAUCACAAUCCAAUAUCAAUCUUAACUCUGAUAAAAAUGAUAUUGCUUCCUCAGAUGGCAAGUCUUGAUAUACGGUGAGUUGGUGGUGCACGCACAGGGCCUACAAAUCUGAUAUAGUCAUCUACCAAUAGUCAGUAUUGCUUCACUCUCGUUCUUCACUUACAAGCCGUUAGUAUGUAUAGGUUUUUCUAGUAGUUGGUUUGUAGGGAGGUUGCAAAGAUGAAGCAGGCAGUGUAAUUAAGGGGCAAGGAGAUAGUUGUCUUUGCAACAGUAGUUUUAUUUAUAGUUUUUUGUUUUUUCUCUUUUUCCAUGAGGGGAGUGAUGGUUAGGUUUCAUAUGCAGGCAUUUCUUUGCCUUCAAGAAUGGAGUC
rnacentral:misc_RNA from 1 species